GCAGCAAACGCAUUAAGCACUCCGCUUGGGGAGUACGACCGCAAGGUUGAAACUCAAAGGAAUUGACGGGGGCCCGCACAAGCGGUGGAGCAUGUGGUUUAAUUCGAAGCAACGCGAAGAACCUUACCAGGUCUUGACAUCCUUUGACCACUCUAGAGAUAGAGCUUCCCCUUCGGGGGCAAAGUGACAGGUGGUGCAUGGUUGUCGUCAGCUCGUGUCGUGAGAUGUUGGGUUAAGUCCCGCAACGAGCGCAACCCUUAUUGUUAGUUGCCAUCAUUUAGUUGGGCACUCUAGCGAGACUGCCGGUGACAAACCGGAGGAAGGUGGGGAUGACGUCAAAUCAUCAUGCCCCUUAUGACCUGGGCUACACACGUGCUACAAUGGGAAGUACAACGAGUUGCGAAGUCGCGAGGCUAAGCUAAUCUCUUAAAGCUUCUCUCAGUUCGGAUUGUAGGCUGCAACUCGCCUACAUGAAGCCGGAAUCGCUAGUAAUCGCGGAUCAGCACGCCGCGGUGAAUACGUUCCCGGGCCUUGUACACACCGCCCGUCACACCACGAGAGUUUGUAACACCCGAAGUCGG
rnacentral:rRNA from 1 species